rnacentral:rRNA from 1 species
CCUACGGGAGGCUGCAGUCGAGAAUCUUCCACAAUGGGCGCAAGCCUGAUGGAGCGACGCCGCGUGCGGGAUGAAGGCCCUUGGGUUGUAAACCGCUGUCAGAGGGGAUGAAAUCACCGGAGGUCCUCCUCCGGUGUUGACAGAGCCUCAGAGGAAGCACGGGCUAAGUACGUGCCAGCAGCCGCGGUAACACGUACUGUGCGAACGUUAUUCGGAAUCACUGGGCUUAAAGGGUGCGUAGGCGGCCCGGAUAGUCAGGUGUGAAAGCCCCCGGCCCAACCGGGGAAUUGCGCCUGAGACUGGCGGGCUUGAGGGCGAUAGGGGUGUGCGGAACUUCCCGUGGAGCGGUGAAAUGCGUUGAUAUGGGAAGGAACACCGGUGCCGAAAGGGGCACACUGGGUCGCCACUGACGCUGAGGCACGAAAGCCAGGGGAGCGAAC